rnacentral:rRNA from 1 species
CCUACGGGAGGCAGCAGUGGGGAAUAUUGCACAAUGGGGGAAACCCUGAUGCAGCGACGCCGCGUGAAGGAUGAAGUAUUUCGAUAUGUAAACUUCUAUCAGCAGGGAAGAAAAUGACGGUACCUGACUAAGAAGCCCCGGCUAACUACGUGCCAGCAGCCGCGGUAAUACGUAGGUGGCAAGCGUUAUCCGGAUUUACUGGGUGUAAAGGGCGUGUAGGCGGGGACGCAAGUCAGAUGUGAAAACCACGGGCUCAACCUGUGGCCUGCAUUUGAAACUGUGUUUCUUGAGUACUGGAGAGGCAGACGGAAUUCCUAGUGUAGCGGUGAAAUGCGUAGAUAUACGGAGGAACACCAGUGGCGAAGGCGGCCUGCUGGACAUUAACUGACGCUGAGGCGCGAAAGCGUGGGGAGCAAACAGGAUUAGAUACCCCAGUAGUC